rnacentral:misc_RNA from 1 species
AUGAAUUGUAAUGGGGGCUGAUGCUGGUGGCCAUGUCUUUGGCUGCAUUGUGCUCGCUUCUAGCAAUAUUUGUCCAAACACUUGUGCAUCUUCUGAGGGGAUUCCAAGUCGAUUGCUGAGUUUUCGGUGAUUUUCUUGGAUUUCCAUACUCUCACAUACACUAAUAUCACAAUGUUGAAUGUGCUUGUGCCGUCAUGGCCUUUAAUAAAUAAUA